CCUCCUUCGCACUCGUUUUCUCGGUCUAUGAAGAUUUGGCUCCUGGCGACAAGAAAUAUGUAGUAGCACAAACCGUCAACAAACCGACACCACCAUAUCGUUUUCAAUUUCCGUUUCGUCGUCCUCUUUAACACGACAAUAACAAGUUUCAUAUGC
ensembl:antisense_RNA anr-5 ncRNA